UUAAGGUGUUACAUAGACAAGAAUACAUCAUUCUCCAUUCCACCCUAUAAAAUGCCAGGGGAAUUAGCUCAGUUGGUAGAGCGCCGCUUUUGCAAGGCGGAGGCCGUCGGUUCGAAUCCGUCAUUCUCCACCAGCAAUAAGACUUAAAUUAUAUAAAUCAGUUUAGAUAGUAAUAGAUCUUUUAUAAGAGAUAUAGAGUGUUUCCGCAAGUGUGAGAGAGAGAAGUAUCACAAACACAGAGGAUAUGAGAAAUAU
rnacentral:tRNA from 1 species